rnacentral:rRNA from 1 species
ACAUCGCUCUUUGAAAAAUUUGUAUAAAGAGUUGAACCUGCCCAGUGAAUAUUUUAACGGCCGCAGUACCCUGACUGUGCAAAGGUAGCAUAAUCAUUUGCCUUAUAAUUGAGGGCUAGAAUGAAUGGUUUGACAAGAGUAAAGCUGUCUCUAUAAAAUUUAUUAGAAUUUGGUGUUUAGGUGAAGAAACUUAAAUGAAAUUGAAAGACAAGAAGACCCUAUCGAGCUUUAAAAUAAAGUUUUUAAGAAUAUUUGGUUCUAAAUUUAUUUUGAUAAUAAUUUUUUGGUUGGGGCGACUGAGGAACAAAAAAAGCUUCCUUAUUAAAAGUAGACUAUUAGUUUUGAUCCAAUAAAUUGAUUAUAAAAAAUAGUUACCGUAGGGAUAACAGCAUAAUCUUUUUUAAGAGUUCUUAUCGAAAAAAAGGUUUGUGACCUCGAUGUUGGACUAGGAUAUCCUGAGGGUGUAGAAG